rnacentral:rRNA from 1 species
CUGCUGCCUCCCGUAGGAGUCUGGGCCGUGUCUCAGUCCCAAUGUGGCCGUCCACUCUCUCAAGCCGGCUACUGAUCGUCGCCUUGGUGAGCCGUUACCUCACCAACCAGCUAAUCAGACGCGGGUCCAUCCCAUAGCGAUAAAUCUUUGAAGAAAAGAACAUGCGCUCUCUCCUUGUUAUGCGGUAUUAGCAGCCGUUUCCAGCUGUUGUCCCCCUCUAUGGGGCAGGUUGCCCACGCGUUA